rnacentral:rRNA from 1 species
AUUGAACGCUGGCGGCAGGCCUAACACAUGCAAGUCGAGCGAGCGGCGGACGGGUGAGUAAUGUAUGGGGACUGCCCGAUAGAGGGGGAUAACUACUGGAAACGGUGUCUAAUACCGCAUACUAUCGGAUAACCCAUAUGGGAUUAGCUAGUAGGGGGGGUAAAGGCUCACCUAGGCGACGAUCCCUAGCUGGUCUGAGAGGAUGAUCGGCAAAUCGGGGACUGAGAAACGGCCCAGACUCCUCCGGAGGAGUCAGUGGGGAAUAUUGCACAAUGGGCGCAAGCCUGAUGAGGCCAUGCCGCGUGUAUGAAGAAGGCCUUAGGGUUGUAAAGUACUUUCAGCGGGGAGGCGUUACCCGCAGAAGAAGCACCGGCUAACUCCGUGCCAGCAGCCGCGGUAAUAC